AUACGGAGGGUGCAAGCGUUGUUCGGAAUCACUGGGCGUAAAGCGCGUGUAGGCGGCCCUGUAAGUCGGAUGUGAAAGCCCUCGGCUCAACCGAGGAAGUGCAUCCGAUACUGCUGGGCUUGAGUCUCGGAGAGGGGUGUGGAAUUCCCGGUGUAGAGGUGAAAUUCGUAGAUAUCGGGAGGAACACCAGUGGCGAAGGCGACACCCUGGACGAAGACUGACGCUGAGACGCGAAAGCGUGGGGAGCAAACAGGAUUAGAUACCCUAGUAGUCC
rnacentral:rRNA from 1 species